rnacentral:rRNA from 1 species
GUCUACGGCCAUACCACCCUGAAUGAGCCCGAUCUCGUCUGAUCUUGGAGGCUAAGCAGGGAAUGGAAGCUGGUGGAAGCUUCUGCUGACC